rnacentral:rRNA from 1 species
AACGAACGCUGGCGGCAGGCUUAACACAUGCAAGUCGAGCGCCCCGCAAGGGGAGCGGCAGACGGGUGAGUAACGCGUGGGAACGUACCCUUUGCUACGGAAUAGCUCCGGGAAACUGGAAUUAAUACCGGAUGUGCCCUACGGGGGAAAGAUUUAUCGGCAAAGGAUCGGCCCGCGUUGGAUUAGCUAGUUGGUGGGGUAAUGGCCUACCAAGGCGACGAUCCAUAGCUGGUCUGAGAGGAUGAUCAGCCACAUUGGGACUGAGACACGGCCCAAACUCCUACGGGAGGCAGCAGUGGGGAAUAUUGGACAAUGGGCGCAAGCCUGAUCCAGCCAUGCCGCGUGAGUGAUGAAGGCCUUAGGGUUGUAAAGCUCUUUCAGUGGGGACGAUAAUGACGGUACCCACAGAAGAAGCCCCGGCUAACUUCGUGCCAGCAGCCGCCGCUGUAA